AAGCAACGAGGAGAACAGCGCUUCCUGUGAUGGCGGGGUGCAUCACAACCAUUUGAUUAUCAGAUGACCUCAGCACUCCUGAGCUC